UUCGACGCUGUUAAGAUUACUGAUGUACACUCGAAUUUCCCAGAUAUAUCAGUGAAAUUAUGGACAAGCUUGUUCUAGAUGGCACUCUAGCAAAAACUGGAGGGGACACGUACACCAUUAAAAGGCUGAAGAAGUCUGAUUAUGAAUUCAUUGUGGUAAAACAAGAAAUUAAUGGUCAAGCAAUCCUGGUUAGUGACAGAACUCCCAAGUCUAAUGACCACUUGUACAUGGGUGAUUGUGAUGCCUGCCUUCAGUGCCUUGUCACAAUUUUUGUAUAUCAAGUUAUCAAUCUCGUUACUCGUGCCUUAUAAGUUAUAACUAGGACUUAAUCUUCUGCUAAUUCAUCUGUAACUUUUUACAGCCUGAAAAAAUUUCUAUAGUCUGAUGUACAAGAUUGAAUAUUCUCUGUUGUCAUGAAUAUCAUAUGUACAUCCUAUACAUUUGUGAAAAACAAGCAUUUUAUACACUUCCAUUGAGGGGUUUAUUUUUCUACUGCAGGCACUGUGUCAUGCUCUUCCCAUGCAGUAUGUGUCAGUUCCAAAGCUUGAGAGCAAGCUCAGAAGAGAAGUAAAUCAGAACAUGGUGAAAAAAUGGCACAAGAAGGUUUUGUUGAAGCCAAAGUUACGGAAGGCUAGGAAAGCGUGUUAUCCGUUCUGAUGUUAGAAAAGACUUAUGGAAGUCCAGAAAGCAUUGAAUUAUGAUGCAAUGACGAACUUGUGGUUCAAAGCAAGUCAAAUCAUCAAGAUGUUCAUCCAAUGGGAAGUAACCAUAGAGACAUCCAC